rnacentral:lncRNA from 1 species
AUUUUCAGUUGAUGCUCUGAUAAUCGAGAUCCCAUAGGGAACAGUCAUCAUGAAAAAUCCUGAUCAUUCGUAAUCCUAACUAUCAUCGUCAUCAUCAUGUAUUAUUGAGUGAAUCUAACCAUCAUUAUCAAUGAUCUGGUCAUCAUCAUCAUUGAGUUAUUGAGUGAACCUAAUCAUUAUCAUGAAUGAUCCUUAUCAUCACGAUGAAAGACCCUAACCCUAAUCGUGAAAGAUCCUGAUCAUCAUCAUGAAUGAUUCUAACCAUCAUCAUAAAAUAUUCGAACCAUCACCACGAGUGAUCCUAAACAUUAUCAGAAGAGGUCCUGACCAUCAUCUUCAAAGUAUUAUUAUUAUUCGACUUUGAUUAUUUACUAGAAUUCUGUGAACAUUUUAAUUGUGACUUCCACACAUAAUUGGAUACUUAUCUACGGCAGUCACUAAACUGUUCGACACAGUAUUGUAAAAAAACUAAAUUUCAACAUUAAUCCGUCUUUCUCCCCUAUUAAUACUCUUGUUGACUAUUUCACAAAGUUGCAACUGCCUUUCGACAGACUAUAAACUAGGCCUGCCUCAUUUUAAACAGUGAGGUUUUGAAUACUCGAUUUUACGUGCACGUCCCGCUCAAACACUUUGUUAAGAUACUUUAAAGAAAACGGGACUACGUACGUUCCAUAGAGAGAUGAACUAAAUAAUCAGCAUCAAUCAAUUCCUUUUAAGAAAUACCCUUUUUUUCCUCCUCCUGUUAAGCUGAAUGUUCUAUAGAUGUGUGAAUAGCUCGCAAGAAAUAUAUAGUUUGAAAAUAAAUUUGCACAGUAAUCGUAAAAAGUGCACGUGGAGUUAAAGUGGAAAUAUUUAGGUAAAAUAGAUAUUUAAGGAACCAAUAAAAUAGGGCUAAGAUAUCUGAUAAAUUGUAUAUAGAUUAAGGGAGGGAUUGAGAGAUAGACCGACGAGUGGAUUGAAAGAUAAAUGGAUUUACGGACUGAUAUACAGAUAGGUGACGGACGGACAGAUAAACAUAAAGAUAUAUAUAAGAACAGAUAGAUUAACAGAAAAGAUAGAUAGAUGAACAGAAAGAUAGAUAGGUAGAUUGAUAGACGGAUAGACAGACAAAUAGGUAGAAAGAUAGAUAUGUAGAUUGAUAGACGGAUAGACAGACAAAUAGGUAGAAAGACAGAUAGUAGAUUGAUAGACGGAUAGACAGACAAAUAGGUAGAAAGACAGAUAGGUAGAUUGAUAGACGGAUGGACAGAUACCAAGAUGAACGGACAGACAAAUAAAUAGAUCAACGAACGGAUAGUAAGAUAGAUAAAUGGACGGACGGACAGGAUUUUAUUUUUUGAAACAUUGGAAAGUAAAAGUUUAUUUUGUAACGUAUCGCUUAUAAACAGGUCGGAUUUCAUUGACAAUUUAAAAUAAUUAGGAUAGUAGGCUAUUUCACUGAAAUGAUUUAACAUUACUCGACAUAGCAACAAAUACCCACCUCGCUUUCUAUUGCUUUGUUAAUUCGGCGUGUUUACAACUUUCUGUUUGUCGUGUAUGUGCAUAGACAGAGUAAAAUAAUAUUGUCCAGACUACAACCACACAUUUCGAUUGCAUAAAAUUUUAAUACUUUAACGUAUUUUAAACUGUCAAAAUUGUUUGCAAUUGUUCUAUUGUUGUUUAGAAACAGUCUUUAUGGAAUCCCCUCCCUCCCAGUGGCUCAGCGGUAAUCUUGAGAGCUUUUAGCGCUACAAUUCAGGUCCGAUCCCUGCGGUGAGCAGCACAGAUUGUCCAUUGCGAAGCUUCGUAAUUAACAACAAAUAGAUAAUUUCACGUCUAUAUGAAGAAUAAAAGUACAGAAGUUUGAACUAAAGAAAUAGGGACUGAAAUCAUGACAAGAUUAGGGCCUAUAACGAUAUUAUCUUUCAUCAGAAUUUAGAGAAGAAACUAAUCAAGAAGCGUGCAGACAUUUUAUGACUAGGAAUAUACAUAACGUCCUAUGUAUACCUUUUCUUUUCUUUUUUCCGACGUCACGAAGAAAGUAUUCUCCGUUUGGAAAUAUCAUGAUCUUCUUUUCAACAUAAACAUUUAUAGCAAAUUACCACUUGGAAAACUGAUGGAAAAUGACGGUUUUAUUAAGUGUUACGUCACUCGCGAUUAGAGAGACGUCACUUCCUCCCGUUGUUAAACUGCUUGCAAGGAAUAGGUCUAUGAAUCAAUCAUCACGUGUUAUAUCCUGGUACAUUUAAUCAUCAAGCAUUUACUUUAAUACGUCACCAGAAAACAAUUUUCUCCUCUGCAGGCGGCGGACACCAGGGUUUGCUAUUAUAUAUUAUAAUAAAGAAAAAGUAGUACACGACUGCCCUCUAGACGUUCGCAUCAGAAAAGUUUCUAAUUUGUUCUAAUCGUCCCACAAAUGUUCGUGCAGUAAACUUAUAGAGUACGUAUACCAGCUGGUGGUUAAUUGACAAUGAUGAAAGAUCUUGAAGUAAGUUUCAGAGUCUUACGGAAUAUGGUCGUUACUUAAGUAGCCCAGCCUAUAGACCGUCUAAUGACUUACUAACGUCGUUCAUUAACAUUUAUCUUGUUCGUUCGAUUUCAUCAAGGACUAUUAUAAUUGGCUAUGGUAAUGUGACUUGGAAUGUUGUAUCGAAUUAUCGUCUCUUGUCUUUUGAGUAUAAAACAAACAGACGUAGUUUCUGUAUUUUGUUUCUCUGUAUUGCUAAUUAUCUGCACGUGUUUGUAAAUCAUUGUUAUUUUUAUUUUUCUGAAAAACAGAUUGCAUUCAUUAAUCUGAAUAAAUUACUAUAAGACACCAGUA